rnacentral:rRNA from 1 species
GAUGAACGCUGGCGGCGUGCCUAAUACAUGCAAGUCGAGCGAACAGACGAGGAGCUUGCUCCUCUGACGUUAGCGGCGGACGGGUGAGUAACACGUGGAUAACCUACCUAUAAGACUGGGAUAACUUCGGGAAACCGGAGCUAAUACCGGAUAAUAUAUUGAACCGCAUGGUUCAAUAGUGAAAGACGGUUUUGCUGUCACUUAUAGAUGGAUCCGCGCCGCAUUAGCUAGUUGGUAAGGUAACGGCUUACCAAGGCAACGAUGCGUAGCCGACGUGAGAGGGUGAUCGGCCACACUGGAGCUGAGACACGGUCCAGACUCCUACGGGAGGCAGCAGUAGGGAAUCUUCCGCAAUGGGCGAAAGCCUGACGGAGCAACGCCGCGUGAGUGAUGAAGGUCUUCGGAUCGUAAAACUCUGUUAUUAGGGAAGAACAAAUGUGUAAGUAACUAUGCACGUCUUGACGGUACCUAAUCAGAAAGCCACGGCUAACUACGUG